ACAGCUUGAGCCCUUUAGCACUCCACGAAACUUCUUCAGAUCCUGAAGAACAGUGACUCAUCUAUAUAGACUUGGUCGACAUCGUGUUAAAGCUGGAAGUGCGGCUUGGAGUUGCACGGCCUCAGCCAGUUUGGUCUACAUACAAUCACUUUUCCCAUUCAACAGAGCAAGAUACAUAGAAAAACUGAGCCGUGUUGAGGGGAAGAGUCGACCCAAACAAAUGGCCGGAGGUUCCAAAGCAAUUGUUCUGACAGGAACUCAAAUCAUGUUACGAAGUGAUCUACAUACGCCGGGGUGCGGUUACACGAGGCGUUUCAGUCAGAUGGAGCUACAGACAUCUGCAUGAGGAGAACCUGACGUUGACUGCAGUGUUUCCUUGGAGCUUAACCACCUGAGAACAUGACCAAAUCUACAAACCUUAAAGUGUCUUUAUA